rnacentral:tmRNA from 1 species
ACUGGCUUCGACGUGGGUCGCGAACCCUCAGGUGCAUGCCGAGGCGCAGAACACCUCGUAAAUCCAACUGCAACCAAUAUAGUUGCCAACGACGACAACUACGCACUAGCUGCUUAAACACCAGCCUAGAGCCCUCUGACUGAACUCGUGCAUGUGCGGUUCAGACCCAGGGGUCACCCCUACACAUGAUCGCGCGUGAGGCAUGUUCAGGGCCGAGCCGCUAAAACACACUGAGCUGGCUGCUGGCUUUCCCUGCCUGUCGGGUAGCCCGCAGUGAGAACAAUUGACCGGCUAAGCAUGUAGAGCUUGAGGCGGAGGGCUUGCGGACGCGGGUUCGAUUGA